GAGGACACACGCGCUGUAGCCACCGCACCUUAUCCGCACCACCUGUCUGUCUCUCCCCCACGCACGCACACCCACACCGUUCGCACGCAUCGCGCACCCUCGUGAGGCACACAUCGCUUCGUCUUCGUGCUCUUCAUUACGGGGCUGUCGUCUCUUUCCCGGCUGGGGAGAAGCGAAAACGUUGCGGUGUUACACUUCCCUUUCGUAGUGGCGCCUCUUACCACGCCAUCCGCCAUCGAACUUGUCGUGGCGGCUGCUAUCGUGCCGCAGUUCCUAGCUGCUCCCGCUGCAUUGCGACCUCCGUGGCUGUCUGUGAUUGUGCAUCACUGGAGCUGCUGCUGCUGCCGGCGGUCUCUAGUGACGUUCCCGCCGCUCUCGCUGGGGUUUCGGCUUCCUCUUCUGCGCCCUUUGCACACCGUCACGCAGGCCCCGGGAACGUGAUCAUGAUGUCCCCUGAAAUAACUGAGACCGAUGAGGCAGAGAAUAUGCCACGCGAGCUUCGCGGUAAAGGCAAGCCGAUGCCGUGCGACAAGUUUGUGAGGGUUGGCCGGUGCCAUAGCACACGAAAGGAAGUGAUUAUCUGCUACAGAACUCUCGGUGAUCCCUCCAACCCAUGCCUGCUGCUCGUCAUAGGCCUCGGUGGUACCUUGCUUCACUGGCCGGGCGAGUUUCUCGCUGAACUUCUCAAGAACGGUUUCUACCUUGUUUUGUUUGACAACCGCGACUCGGGUCUGUCGACCCACUUCGACGGCUACCCGACCCCGUGCCUCCCCUGCAUGGUAUUCCAGUCGUGGUCCCCCCUUUGCGGAGGCGCGCCGCCCUACACGCUCUACGACAUGGCGAAUGAUGCUUGGUGUUUGCUGACGGCACUCGGGAUUGGCCGCGCGCACCUCUUGGGCACCUCCAUGGGUGGCAUGAUUGUGCAGUGCAUGGCCAUACAAUAUCCUAAGCGGGUGUGUAGCCUCACGAUUUGUUACUCGCACAGCAGCGGCCCGUAUGUGAAGCCGCAGGCGUGUCGCGUGACGCUGGCGUUGCUGGACAAGCCUGCUAGCCUGUCCCUGAAGGACGUCGAGGACUAUGUUGUUCGCAGUGACUGCCUCUUCAGGGGCGACUACCCGCUGGACGAGGCGCAUGUGCGCGAGGUCGCCGCGACUAACUUCAUGCGAAGCCCUCCCUACAAGAGCGGGUUGCUGCGACACGUAUGGGCGGUGCAGCGCGCGAGUAAUCGCGAGCCUGCCCUCCGCCGGCUGAGGGGCUUCCCAGUGCUCGUCGUACACGGCAGGAAGGAUCUGAUGAUACCGUACGAAAACGGCUUGCGGCUGGCGUGCGUGCUGUGCAAUGCAAAACUCGUUCUCUUUCCUCACAUGGGGCAUUCUAUCCCGAGGCCGCUCUACGUGGAGAUCGCGAUGGAGGUCGGUUUGCAGAAGCUACGCAUGGUGAACGUGCCGCUGUAGGGGGCCGGCCGCUGCUGUGCGGGCGAUGGAUGCCACCGCCACGGCCGAAGACACGGUCGGGGCGUGGAGCCGACGGGGAGGGGAGGGGAGGUGCCACGUUGUUUCACCUCUUUUGUUAGGAUUGGUUGUUUAGUCUCGUCGUAGAAAUCAAUAAGCACUUCACCUUUCUGGAGAGGGACGACGCGGCAGCCGACAUGCGGGCGGUUGAUUGGCGCCGAUGGCAUUCCUUCUUCCGGUUCGAGUUGAGUCUGAGGGUGGAGGGCCAAGUCCCCUACCUGCCUGGUGGUGGGUGGAGAGGGUGGCUGCUCACGUCACCGCUUGAUUCGCUUCUUUUAGAGCUGUGUGCUCGCCUGUGGACGCUGCGCGCAAUCUCUUCCAACGCCUCCGCGCAGACCACUAACGGCACCAAAAAAAACGUGCAUAACAUGUAUAAUGAGGAGCUGUUCUCUCUCUCAUCCGCUCACCCUCACGUUCACCUUGUGCCCGCCAUAUCUGCCCUCGUUGGCCUAUGCGCGCUCCCUCCCUUAUUAUUAUAUUUGAUCCCCCCUCUACGCCAACCUUACACCUCACGUGGAGGCGAUUUUGCCUUCGUGUGGCCCGUGCUCUCAGUCGUUUUUUUUUUCUCACUUCGCUUGUGUCCCUCUUCCUUCGUUUCGUUGUUUAUAUCCUUUUAAAGCGUUCUGUGGGCCGCUCUCUCUCUGCCUCUUUCUUUCCCUCAUGCUUUCUCGCACGCCCUCCCCUUCCCUCUGUCUGCCUUCCUCCCCCUUCUCAGUGUCACUCUACAGCCUGCGUUUCUUCGGUAUUUUGUUGGGUGUGGGGGUGUUCGCCUCGACUGUAUUAUCCCCCUCCCUUUGCUGCUUGUUGCUGUCUUGGUUGAACACGGACUUCUCCUACGCGCGCGCGCUUCUCGUUACCUUCCCUCCCCCUCCCUCCCUCCCUGUCUGUGGGUCUGCCUCCUCUGUCAGGCUGUUACGUUUGCCUGGGCAUAUGCGGGACUGCUGCCUCGCAUGGGUUCCUGUGCGAUGCGUGUGGACCUGCUCUGCACCGAAGAGCGAAAGAAAGCAGCGAGACGGACACGGAGACAGGGGAGGGAGACACAGGAAGGAGGGAAGAGCAUCGCGCCCCGUGCAGCUGUACGCGCGUUGCAGCGUGUGCAGUCGUUCUUCCGCUUUCCGCCGCCCGCCGCCGCUUUCCUUUUCUUUCGCCCACUUGCUUUGAUUUCCACCUAUUUAUGAUUUUGCCACCUCUCUCUCUCUCUAUAUAUAUAUAUGUGUGUGUGUGUGCGCAUGUGCGCAUGUGCGUGUGUACGCUGUGGUACUGGGCCGGAGGCACCCCCUCCCCACGGUCAGUUCCGAAAACGAAAA
rnacentral:misc_RNA from 1 species